GUUUUCAUGUAGUUUUUUAUUAUUGUAUUAAUGUAUUUUUAUGAUUCAUGCACAUAUUUUUAAUCCGGCGCUUCGAUGGCCACCUUUUUUUUUUUUGGGUCCUUACAGUUUAUAGAGUCCUCACUUCCGGUACGAAAAGCGCGUCCGCGUGGUGGAGAGCAGCAUGUGCGCGUGCCGAAGUGGUCUCGUGGAUCAGCAUGGUAGGAAUUGAAAGCCUGAUUAUUCAGACCAUGAGGACAGCUGAACUCGCCAUGUUCCUGUUAAACACAGGUGGAUGAUGAUGAUGAUGAUGAUGAAGUACAGCGGAUGGAAGCGACUGCAGCGUUCAAACUCCAUUUACCUUCACGUUGAAUGAUUUAUAGUGGAGCGUUUUAUCCGAUUAUGGGUGAGGUACAUGAUGUGUGUCAUGAGCUAUAGGUUUGCUCACAAACUGCCAAAAAUAAAUUAACACUAAAGUAUGAAAGUUUCAGUACAAAAAAACAUCAAAUCCGCUACUGACAAUCCACUUGUAAUUCUUAAAAUAAGAAAUGUUAAGUGGAUUGUGAUGCACUUGAUCACGAUAUCGAUAUCAGAUGGUCGUAUCGCUCAGCCUCGCUCUCGGGCUUCCGCUUAGUAGUACGCACUUCGAGUGUUAGUAAAAUCUCUCCAGUAGUAACACAGAAGAUCUGAAGCCAUUUUUUUAAAUUAAUAUUAAGCUGAAGUCUUUAUUGGUUCAGAAAUAAUCAUGUGAUUUAAGCCAGGUUUACUCUGUACCAUCUUGCUGACACAAUUUGCACAUCGUAAAAGAAUUCUUCGCUCGUGAGUUGAAAGCGGUGUCUAACGACAUGUUAUGUGACUUGGUUGUCAGUGUGAGGAAUUUCGGAGUGUGAGCGCUGCUGCUAUGACAGUCAACUAAAAUCCACCAAUAGGAGGGCAGCACAGCUAUGCGUACAGUAGCGGCGAUGGAGAAAAACGUAACAUGCUAACGAACAGAAAAAUGGCGUUAUUACCUCACACUCGCUUCAUGUUUAUGCAAGCCUGUUGUCUGCACGAGUUGAUAUCCUGGUGCUCAAUUACGUAAGCAGAAUGUAGUCAUUCUCUCUAAGCACAGAUCUGCCGGUAGAGGAUCUUCUUUAGAGGACACGCGUUAUCAUAAAGUCUGUUAUAGAAUUCAGCCCAGAUUUUCUUGGGAUCUCGAGUACGCAAGUAUUUUGUGACAGGUAAUAAAAUAAAAUAAAAGUGCUGGAAUCAUGUAGUGUGAAACAUGAUGGCGUUUAAAACACUCAGAUGCUUCACUCAGUCAGGUUCAGUUUAGCUGAUGAUUAAUGAUGACUACGUAGGUGGGUUAUGUCUCUGCUUUGUCGCUUAUGUAUUAAUGUGAUUUCUAAUAAAGAUUGAUCUCCCAGU